AAGACUGUUGACAUUCACCGAAUAUUUAUUUAUGAUGUAUUACGUGUUGCUGCUUUUGGGAAAUAAGUGUCUCGGAAUUUCAGCACUACAUUGUAUUUUUAAAUGUACUAAGUUAUUAUGUUGUCUUGCUGCUACGAGGAUAAGUUUCUGUGAAUUCAAAGACUACAAAGUAUUUGACAUGAAACAACUAAAGACUAAGUUAUUUAUAUAUUUAACUUUAUUGAUACAUUUUAACAAUAUAAAAAUAUUCAGUAACAGUUAUAACAAGAUCAAUUCCGAACUGCACUUCGCACACAUCCUAAACGAAUAUUUCAAAGCACUAAAUUGAAUUACUAUAAGUAAAACAAAUACCAAAAACAGUCAGACUGCUGUACAUUGAUCACUUGUUAUUCACUAUCAUACAUAUACCAAAUAUAUCAAAGUUGUAACCUUACUAUAUUAAAGAUCGAGCACUAAAACAUACAAAGCCACUAUUACAUUAUCCAUUUACUUUACAUUUACACACAUGAUUUAAUCAAUAAAAAUAAUACAUUAGGCGCACUAAAGUUAUACAUAAAAGUGUUCAAAGUUCAAAGUGUUAAUUGAUCUAAAAGUCUUUACUCCUGCGGCUGAACGUUGUCUAGUGGGUUGUCGGACGGCUUGUACAGUUUGGCAAUAACUUUCAGAAAGUGUGUUGUUGUGAUGACGUUGCCCAUGUAUUGGUCCCAUGCUGUCUGGAUUUUCUCUUCUAGGAUGGUGUACUUCCUAUGGAUGUCACGCUCUAGGUCUUCGGCACGGACACUGUA
rnacentral:lncRNA from 1 species